rnacentral:rRNA from 1 species
CCUACGGGUUGCACCAGUGGGGAAUAUUGCACAAUGGGCGCAAGCCUGAUGCAGCCAUGCCGCGUGUAUGAAGAAGGCCUUCGGGUUGUAAAGUACUUUCAGCGGGGAGGAAGGGAGUAAAGUUAAUACCUUUGCUCAUUGACGUUACCCGCAGAAGAAGCACCGGCUAACUCCGUGCCAGCAGCCGCGGUAAUACGGAGGGUGCAAGCGUUAAUCGGAAUUACUGGGCGUAAAGCGCACGCAGGCGGUUUGUUAAGUCAGAUGUGAAAUCCCCGGGCUCAACCUGGGAACUGCAUCUGAUACUGGCAAGCUUGAGUCUCGUAGAGGGGGGUAGAAUUCCAGGUGUAGCGGUGAAAUUCGUAGAUAUUGGGAAGAACACCGGUGGCGAAAGCGGCAACCUGGCUCGAUACUGACGCUGAGGCGCGAAAGCGUGGGGAGCAAACAGGAUUAGAUACCCGGGUAGUC